GGAGAGAUGGCAGAGCGGUUGAAUGCGGCGGUCUUGAAAACCGUUGGGCGCGCGAGCGUCCCGGGGGUUCGAAUCCCCCUCUCUCCGCCA
rnacentral:tRNA from 1 species